CAGCUGUUCCACUGAGAAGCUACAUCAUCUCCAUGCUUUCGGGCAGGGAUUGAAACUUAUCUGAUGGAUCACAUGGAGGCCUCUGCCUCAUUCAGAGCCCUGGACUUGGGCUGGGGAUGAAACAGGGCUAUGUCAAGAAGGAACCUGUUUUAAGAACCCUGCCCUCAUUUGUUACAAAUGUUGGACGGGCAGGAGAUCAUGUCAAAUGCUGCAUAGGGCAGGAGAUCACAUCGGGAAAUCAUGUCAACAGAUUGAACUUGGACUGCAAGUUUUUCUAUCUGUUAUGUAAUUGUUCUCACAUUGUGGCUUACUACCUGUAAUUUAACUUAUAACUUGAGUGACAUCUUUAUCUAGAUUCAAAGACAUUUUAAACCUUGUAAAGAGAAACAGAGCUAGCAGAAACUUUCUGUACAUUUCCCACACCACUCACUAUCAA